GCGAGGGGAUAAAAGCAUUCAGAUGGCAGAUAACAGUUUUUCAGAUGGGGUUCCUGCAGAGUCUGUGGAAGCUGCUAAAAGUGCAAGUAACACAGAAAAGCUCAUGGAUCAGAUGAUGCCGAACCCACAGGUCCUGGCAGCUUUACAGGAACGACUUGACAAUGUCUCUCACACUCCUUCCAGCUACAAUGAAACAUUACCCAAAGCAGUCAAGAGGAGAAUUAAUGCCCUGAAGCAGCUGCAGGUGAGGUGCACACACAUAGAAGCCAAGUUCUACGAAGGGGUCCAUGACCUGGAGAGGAAGUACGCAGCGUUGUAUCAGCCUCUGUUUGACAAGAGAAGAGAAUUCGUCCCAGUGAUGUGGAACCAACCGAUGCAGAAUCAAAAUGGCACAGUAAAAAUGAGGAUGAUGACAAGUUGGCUGGAGACAUGAAAAAUAAAGUAGUUAGAGCUCAAAAAGAAGAAGCAGCAGCUGAAGAGCUAAAUCCCAAAGGAAUCCCUGAGUUCUGGUUCACCAUUUUUAGAAACGUGGAUAUGCUCAGUGAGCUAGUGUAGGAAUAUGAUGAGCCAAUCUUGAAACAUCUGCAAGAUAUUAAAGUGAAAUUUUCAGACUCUGGACAGCCUAUGUCAUUUGUGUUAGAGUUCCACUUUGAACCCAAUGACUACUUUACCAAUCCAGUCCUGACAAAAACAUACAAUGAAGUCAGAGCCAGACAAGGUUGACCCCUUUUCCUUUGAAGGUCCUGAGACUGUGGACUGUGAUGGGUGUACUAUUGACUGGAAGAAAGGAAAAAAUGUUACAGUAAAAACCAUCAAGAAAAACAGAAACAUAAGGGUCAGGGCACUGUUAGAACAAUUACUAAACAAGUGCCUGAUGAGUCAUUUUUCAACUUUUUCAACCCACUGAAAGCCUCUGGGGAUGGCGAAUCACUGGAUGAAGAUUCUGAAUUCACGUUAGCCUCAGAUUUUGAAAUUCGACACUUUUUCGCGAGCGGAUAGUGCCUCGGGCUGUGCUCUACUUCACUGGGGAGGCCAUAGAGGAUGAUGACAAUUUUGAAGAAGGCGAAGAAGGAGAAGAGGAGGAAUUGGAAGGUGAUGAGGAGGCAGAAGAUGAGGACGAUGCUGAAGUUAACCCCAAGAAAGAGCCCAGCCAGCCGGCGGAAUGCAAGCAACAGUGAGGAGUGGCCACUUUGGAACGGCUGUCAGGACCCGGCUGUGGCAGGGCCUAGGGCCAAGCUGCAGCACAACAUAUGGACAGUGCUUAUAACGUCUAACACAUUUUCAAGUGCAUGAUUUUCACUUUCACUUUUCCUUUUUCUUAUUUUGCUUAACUUGUACAGUGGCAACAGAAAUGCAUUUCAGAAAUAGGAGGUUUUAGUUUUAGCACCCUCUGUGGCCGUGGUGCCUGCAGCCCUGGACCCACCAGGCCCUGCCCUUUAGAAAGUCCACAUACCACAUGGGUUGUGGGGGUCACUCUUAGAAAGGACAGAGUUCUGGGAACUCCGUUUUGGGCUCCUGGAGCCUCUUCUGCCACUUGGGCAGACUGGCUGAGUGGCCCUCCCUGUGAUUCAAAGAAAACCCACUUUCCACUGCUGAUCCUACUGCUCAGAAGCUGCUUCAGCCAUGUAUCCUAAUCAUCUCAGAAGAGCUGAGUAGAGUAAGGCCGUGUUUACUUAGAGCGUUUUUCCUUGCUUUAGUUUGCUAGCGUUUGGGUGGGUUGUGGCACACAGCUUCUGAGGCAGGAGAUGUAGUGAGACCCAUGUAUUUAUUUAUUCAUUGUGCUUGAAGGACUUUGAACUGAGUUGCUCAUUUUUUACCAUUGAUGAAGCCACAUUGGUGACUUGACCAGGAGGAGGGUGUGCUGUCGCCUAGCAGGAGCGUGGCCUGUGCUGCUUCCUGCAGCCAGCUGCUGAGGGCAGGAGCUCAUUCUGUGAUAUGCGAACCACCUGCGGCUGUUGGAAGCACUUUGGGGAGUGGAGGGGCUGCAGGCUACAGCUUUUCAGCCCCAUGUGAAUGUUCCAUCUUGCUCUCUUGGUGACCCCCAUUUCUGGACUCCACCACUCAUCCUGUCAUAAGAGCCCUGGGUUUGGUGUGACUGGUGGUGGCUGGUGAGUGGGGUUUUU